AACGAACGCUGGCGGCAUGCCUAACACAUGCAAGUCGAACGAGAUCCUUCGGGGUCUAGUGGCGCACGGGUGCGUAACGCGUGGGAAUCUGCCCUUAGGUUCGGAAUAACAGUUAGAGAUGACUGCUAAUACCGGAUGAUGACGUUAAGUCCAAAGAUUUAUCGCCUGAGGAUGAGCCCGCGUAGGAUUAGCUAGUUGGUGUGGUAAAGGCGCACCAAGGCGACGAUCCUUAGCUGGUCUGAGAGGAUGAUCAGCCACACUGGGACUGAGACCCGGCCCAGAACCCUACGGGACGCAGCAGUGGGGAAUAUUGGACAAUGGGCGCAAGCCUGAUCCAGCAAUGCCGCGUGAGUGAUGAAGGCCUUAGGGUUGUAAAGCUCUUUUACCCGGGAUGAUAAUGACGGUACCGGGAGAAUAAGCCCCGGCUAACUCCGUG
rnacentral:rRNA from 1 species